rnacentral:rRNA from 1 species
AGUCGAGCGCCCCGCAAGGGGAGCGGCAGACGGGUGAGUAACGCGUGGGAAUCUACCCAUCACUACGGAACAACUCCGGGAAACUGGAGCUAAUACCGUAUACGUCCUUCGGGAGAAAGAUUUAUCGGUGAUGGAUGAGCCCGCGUUGGAUUAGCUAGUUGGUGGGGUAAUGGCCUACCAAGGCGACGAUCCAUAGCUGGUCUGAGAGGAUGAUCAGCCACACUGGGACUGAGACACGGCCCAGACUCCUACGGGAGGCAGCAGUGGGGAAUAUUGGACAAUGGGCGCAAGCCUGAUCCAGCCAUGCCGCGUGAGUGAUGAAGGCCCUAGGGUUGUAAAGCUCUUUCAACGGUGAAGAUAAUGACGGUAACCGUAGAAGAAGCCCCGGCUAACUUCGUGCCAGCAGCCGCGGUAAUACGAAGGGGGCUAGCGUUGUUCGGAUUUACUGGGCGUAAAGCGCACGCAGGCGGAUUGUUAAGUUAGGGGUGAAAUCCCAGGGCUCAACCCUGGAACUGCCUUUAAUACUGGCAAUCUCGAGUCCGGAAGAGGUGAGUGGAAUUCCUAGUGUAGAGGUGAAAUUCGUAGAUAUUCGGAGGAACACCAGUGGCGAAGGCGGCUCACUGGUCCGGUACUGACGUUGAGGUGCGAAAGCGUGUGGAGUAAACAGGAUUAGAUACCCUGGUAGUCUACGCUGUACACGAUGGAAGCUAGCCGUCGGCAAGCUCACUUGUCGGUGGCGCAGCUAACUCACUAAGCUUCCC